CGCUGCUGCCCCGUGAAGACGUGCCUUCCGCCAUGAUUGUAAGUUUCUUAAGGCCUCUCCAGCCAUGCGGAACUGAACAAGAUGUCUCCAGAGUUAAAUACAUGAAUUAAAUGCAAUUUCAAUGGAUGUCCCAAUGUUUUAAAUUGAAUAACAUGACUUUAAAGAAGAUAUGGGAAACUUCAACUCCCAGAAAAAUGAAGUAGAUACAUACUUCUCUAUUCCUUCCACUAAGUACAACUGAAAACCGUGACACUAUAUAUAAAACAAACAUAAGAAGACUCUGAAAGGCAAGAAUGGGUUUUCUUUUGCCUCCUUUAUUCCAGACUUGUAACUGAAGAAGCCAUCAACCAAGAAAUUUCCAACAGACCCAGAUGGAAAAAGUCCCAGUGAAAGCCUGUUCUUUAGCCAAAGGGGCCAGAAAAGAGCAAGAUAGCAGGACAAGGCAACAUGACUGCAGCACAAUCAACUAUGGCUUUGCUGAUCUCGUGUAUCAUCAUCCUCAUCAUCCUCAUCCCCGCAAUUGCAGCAAACGUCCAGUUGUGCACUUACUGCUGAUGAUGAAUAAAUGUAUAGAACAGGAAAAAAUGUAUCUCACCUUCAGACAGAAGGUUGCACUCACAUCCUUAGCAGUUAUAAACAAGGCUUAAAAACAAGACUGAGUUUACAUGAAUGAUUUGUUUUUAGACUGAGGGCUAUAUGAUUGCUUUGGUAGUAGUGGUCCCUAAUGGAGCUAUGUUAAUUGGCAUCUGGGUUAGAAAAGAAAAAUUAAUAUGGCCCUCAGAGGCAAGAACUGGGGCUCGUCUACAUUUAGUGGAAUCUUUCAGAGCCUCUUUAGAGGGGCACACACCCUAGAGAGGAUGAUGAAGAC
rnacentral:lncRNA from 10 species